rnacentral:rRNA from 1 species
UACGGAAGGCAGCAGUGGGGAAUAUUGCACAAUGGGCGAAAGCCUGAUGCAGCUAUGCCGCGUGUAUGAAGAAGGCCUUAGGGUUGUAAAGUACUUUCAUCGGGGAGGAAAAACAAAACUAAUAAUUUUAUUUCUUGACGUUACCCGAAAAAGAAGCACCGGCUAACUCCGUGCCAGCAGCCGCGGUAAUACGGAGGGUGCUAGCGUUAAUCAGAAUUACUGGGCGUAAAGAGCACGUAGGUGGUUUUUUUAAGUCAGAUGUGAAAUCCCUGGGCUUAACCUAGGAACUGCAUUUUGAAACUGAAAUACUAGAGUAUCGUAGAGGGAGGUAGAAUUCUAGGUGUAGCGGUGAAAUGCUUAGAUAUCUGGAGGAAUACCUGUGGCGAAAGCGGCCUCCUAAACGAAUACUGACACUGAGGUGCGAAAGCGUGGGGAGCAAACAGGGAUUAGAUACC